rnacentral:tRNA from 1 species
GGGGUUGUGGCUCAGUGGUAGAGCACUCACCUAGCAUGUGGGAGGCUCCGGGUUUGAUCCUCAGCACCACA